GAUGAACGCUGGCGGCGUGCCUAAUACAUGCAAGUCGAGCGAAUGGAUUAAGAGCUUGCUCUUAUGAAGUUAGCGGCGGACGGGUGAGUAACACGUGGGUAACCUGCCAUAAGACUGGGAUAACUCCGGGAAACCGGGGCUAAUACCGGAUAAUAUUUUGAACUGCAUGGUUCAAAAUUGAAAGGCGGCUUCGGAUGUCACUUAUGGAUGGAACCGCGUCGCAUUAGCUAGUUGGUGAGGUAACGGCGCACCAAGGCAACGAUGCGUAGCCGACCUGAGAGGGUGAUCGGCCACACUGGGACUGAGACACGGCCCAGACUCCUACGGGAGGCAGCAGUAGGGAAUCUUCCGCAAUGGACGAAAGUCUGACGGAGCAACGCCGCGUGAGUGAUGAAGGCUUUCGGGUCGUAAAACUCUGUUGUUAGGGAAGAACAAGUGCUAGUUGAAUAAGCUGGCACCUUGACGGUACCUAACCAGAAAGCCACGGCUAACUACGUGCCAGCAGCCGCGGUAA
rnacentral:rRNA from 1 species